UCCUUGAUAGUAUAGUGGUCAGUAUUCCUGCCUGUCACGCAGGCGGCCGGGGUUCGAUUCCCCGUCAGGGAG
rfam:Aureococcus anophagefferens unplaced genomic scaffold ATRANscaffold_26, whole genome shotgun sequence.